UUCAAUGACAACAGAUGAACGCAUGUCUUAUACUUUACAAAUCAAAGUGUUAAUCGCUUAAAUCCCUGCGUUUGACACUAAACCAGAAAUCAACAUGGAGUCGAAUUCUUUCAAACAAUGUAGCAACUUAAUUGAUGCACAUUUCUAAAAUACACUACACAUUUAUUUCAUUCUUCAAACUACAGGAUCGCUGGCGCUCCCAGUGGUCAUUACUGAUGUCAGGGAGCAGGUGCGGUAGAUGUUGGGAGUAAUUUUAAAACUGUCGGUCUUAGUAGGCAAGUCUCACCUUAACAGGAAUCGCAAAGGAUUUUGGAAAAUUACACCGAAGCAGCCAAUGAGGAAUGAAUACCAAAAGAUGAAGACGUCCAGGAAGAGUGCAUCAAGCUGUUGGAGGUUGCCAGCGUAUGUAAAGUAGCACAAAAUGCUAAAAGAGAAGCCACUGUUCUGACAUACAGCCCUCUCACUGGAAGAUGUGGAUUUCAGUCACAGAUAUGCAACAGAUGAACCACUGCAAACCUGCACACUGAAACUUUGUCCUGCAUUUUGGGCUCAACCCAAAGACAUAGUGUAACUGGUGAAUGUACAUGCCUGUACGUGUCAAUGUGAGCAUGUUUAAUUGCCUCAGGGAUAGACUGGAGACCUGUCUACGGUGUGCUUUCUCUCUAUGACAGCAGGACAGGCUCCAGCUCCCCCACAACCCUAAAAUAAAAUGCAAGAUU